rnacentral:lncRNA from 1 species
CUCACUGCUCACAGGUUGAUCCCGUGGUCGGUGUGGUGAUAAACCCGGAGUUGGAACCCCAGUCUCCUUUUGCUAGAGAGGACACCAAGACUUGCCUCACCGGGCUUGAGAAGGAAGAGAAGCAGGAGAAGGGAGCCUUAGCAACUCCAAACCGUGAACAAGGACUGCAAACCAGUGUUUUGUGUAUAAAACAAUAGGCUCCAGACAGAUGAGUAGGGAGCUGGCUACAGAAGAGGAACAGAUUCCAGUUUUCCAGCUGGUCGCCCUGUACAGAGAAAAACCCUCGAGAUCAAAGCUGGGAGAAAGAAGACAAGUGGUGGAGGAGUCAAUGUGUGACAUGGAACAGGUCUGAGCUGAGGAGCUGAGGGACAGGUAAGGCACAAAGGAGCCCUGCAGUGUCACUCUGUCCCGUGCCUGGUGUUUGGUUGCCUCUUCCUUUGCUGUAUUUGA